GAUGAACGCUGGCGGCGUGCCUAAUACAUGCAAGUCGAGCGAACAGACGAGAAGCUUGCUUCUCUGACGUUAGCGGCGGACGGGUGAGUAACACGUGGAUAACCUACCUAUAAGACUGGGAUAACUUCGGGAAACCGGAGCUAAUACCGGAUAAUAUAUUGAACCGCAUGGUUCAAUAGUGAAAGACGGUUUUGCUGUCACUUAUAGAUGGAUCCGCGCUGCAUUAGCUAGUUGGUAAGGUAACGGCUUACCAAGGCAACGAUGCAUAGCCGACCUGAGAGGGUGAUCGGCCACACUGGAACUGAGACACGGUCCAGACUCCUACGGGAGGCAGCAGUAGGGAAUCUUCCGCAAUGGGCGAAAGCCUGACGGAGCAACGCCGCGUGAGUGAUGAAGGUCUUCGGAUCGUAAAACUCUGUUAUUAGGGAAGAACAAAUGUGUAAGUAACUAUGCACGUCUUGACGGUACCUAAUCAGAAAGCCACGGCUAACUACGUG
rnacentral:rRNA from 1 species